CAGUUACCGCCAACCCUCUGCAAACUCAUCCUAGUCUAGACUGGGUUUUUUGCUCUCUGCUCUCCUGGAACUUUCUACCCAUAUGAGUGCAUUCCCCCUCGUCCAUGCAGAGCUUCUUAGAUUGUCUCUCUCCCCCACUCCCUGAACCCCCACGCACGCGGGGCCCAUGUGUGUUUGGCUCGCCAGCCUGUCCCGGUGCCCGACCCACCACAGGCGCUGAACAAAGGACCGGUUGCAGCAAUCCGCAACCGCGGCAGCCUGGCUGGGAAAGGGUGAGAUCCUGCCGCUCACGACAGCGUGGACGGACCUAGAAGGGGUUAUGCUAAGUAAACUGUUGCUCCUGCUUUUCCUGCACCGGGAAUGAUGCUUGCCCCUCCCGCCCUGGAAGGGGCAUAGCCCAGAGGCACCAACCACAGGCUGGAGAGCAGACAAGCAUCGGUGUGGACGCCCACGGCCAGCGCACCAGCUGCACGAUCCCGUCGGUGAGGCUUUCUCCGCCUCCCAUGCAAAGGUACGAAGAUAGUGAAACUUCCCCCGUGGGCUAGUUCGGAUAAUCAGGCACUUACUCAGCCGCCAGCCAACGGGCCUUCACUACGUGAAAUUCUGUGGAUACAGUAGUAACACAGGCGGCGAUCCAGACAGCUCCUGGCACAAGGUUUGUGGCCAGCAAACAUCUUCAUAUCGCCAAAAGCUGGUCUCGGAAAAUGUGCCAGGGACCUACCUGCGGUUCCCCAUGCUCGGACUCCCUCCCAGGGAGGCGCCCGGUGAGGGGCAGAAGUCUGGCCGGUAUCCAUUCCCUGCCAUGAAGAUGUGAAUCACGCUAGAGCCGCUCAACAAAACUCAGUAAAUCUCAACUGUGCCCCCAAGAAACAAUUUACUUGAAUGAUACCUCUGACAUGUUCCUGUUAGCCAACUGGACAAUUUUAGCUACAGUAAGAAUUCUCUUACUAAUCAAAAAAGGCAGCCAUACCAUCUUAAUUUUUUAAAGCAACAACUCUAUAACGGAAUGUAAUUAUGUAAAAAGGGAUUAUGACAGAAUACAGAUACCAAAAUUUGCGUAGUUGAAUAUUGAUAGUAAAGACACCUUCAAGGUUCCUAGCACACCUACCGGAAAAAUCAUGCAUACAAUGCGAUGGCAUUUUGGGUAAAACGUGUAUUAUACAUGUACAUUUAAAAAAAAAUAAGAACUGGGGCACCUGGGUUAAAGCCUCU